GGCACAGUGGCUUAGUGGUUAGCACUGUUGCCUUGCAUCUCCAGGGAUGUGGGUACAAAUCCCACCUCCGCCC